rnacentral:rRNA from 1 species
GGGUCGGGCGGCAGCUACACAUGCAAGUCGAGCGGCAGCACGGGUACUUGUACCUGGUGGCGAGCGGCGGACGGGUGAGUAAUGCCUAGGAAUCUGCCUGGUAGUGGGGGAUAACGCUCGGAAACGGACGCUAAUACCGCAUACGUCCUACGGGAGAAAGCAGGGGACCUUCGGGCCUUGCGCUAUCAGAUGAGCCUAGGUCGGAUUAGCUAGUUGGUGAGGUAAUGGCUCACCAAGGCGACGAUCCGUAACUGGUCUGAGAGGAUGAUCAGUCACACUGGAACUGAGACACGGUCCAGACUCCUACGGGAGGCAGCAGUGGGGAAUAUUGGACAAUGGGCGAAAGCCUGAUCCAGCCAUGCCGCGUGUGUGAAGAAGGUCUUCGGAUUGUAAAGCACUUUAAGUUGGGAGGAAGGGCAGUUACCUAAUACGUAUCUGUUUUGACGUUACCGACAGAAUAAGCACCGGCUAACUCUGUGCCAGCAGCCGCGGUAAUACAGAGGGUGCAAGCGUUAAUCGGAAUUACUGGGCGUAAAGCGCGCGU